rnacentral:lncRNA from 1 species
GGAGGCGGGGCGGCCUGCCGUGAAAUAAAUCUUUUAAAAAAGCUUUUUAAAAACAGUAAAACAGCCGGGUCGUGGUGGCACACGCCUUUAAUUCCAGCACUUGGGAGGCAGAAUAAGGCAGAUUUCUGAGUUCGAUUCCAGCCUGGUCUACAAAGCGCUGGCAAAGGGGGUCGGCUUACAAGACGGAGCUGUCGUUGGAGCGGAGAAGAAAGCAAGUGACAUUUGAGUGCAUCAGAGUUCUGCUCUGUUCCACUAAGAAGGGUCUGACUAUGCGGCCUGAGCUGGUCUCAGACUCAUAAACUCGAGGGACUCCAGCCUCCCAGUAUAAGUAUGCCCCAUCCAGGUCAGCCUAAAGUAGAUUUUAUUUCACUGUGUCUUUAAAUACAUGAGCAAGCUAGCAAAGAGAUCCGUAUGUUGUUACUCCAAGAGAAACAACAGAGAGAGAGAGAGCAUGAGUAUAGACAUAAGAGUAAGCACUCACCCUGCAAGCCAGUUGUUUUUCAAACCUUGGAGAAACAAAAGACCAUGGACCCAUGUUCUGAGGCUCCUCCUGACUCCAGAUGACAUCUGCAAAAAGAAGAAAUUGACUUCAACUUUCAAUCAACCAAAAGACUGACUGUUGCUAAUGUGUGAGACUGGGAGGAGUCCUGACUCCCUGGGAGUUGAAAGAUUUCUUCUUUG